AUGGAGUCCUUGUGGAAGCUGUCCUAUUUGCUUGAGCCGGCGUCACUUGCCCUCAUCGUGACGGCUGUUUCAGUUGCCUAUGCAUCAGCGUCUCGUGCUCUGGACCAUGGCAAGGAGAUGGAGAGGAACUUGGACUUCUCGGAGGCCUCCAUCACACUUGAUCGGUCGCAGGCUCUCAUGAUCCCCCUUGCAAGCUCAUGCAGCCUACUGCUGAUGUUCUAUCUGUUUUCAUCUGUAUCGCACCUCGUCACCGCGUUUACCGCCGGAGCCUCUGUGAUGGCGCUCUUCUUCUGUCUGUCUCCGUCUAUCGCCUACGCCAAGUCGCAGCUCAAUCUAAUGGAUCCUUUCGUGUCGAGGUGCUGUUCCAAGUCAUUUACCCGGUUGCAAGGAUUGCUAUUGACUUUCUGCAUAAGCACGGUGGCAGUGUGGCUGGUAACAGGGCAUUGGUUGCUAAAUAAUGUACUUGGGAUUUCCAUAUGCAUAGCAUUUGUCAGUCAUGUGAGGCUUCCCAACAUAAAGAUUUGUUCGUUGCUUCUCGUGUGUCUGUUUGUCUAUGAUGUUUUCUGGGUCUUCUUCUCCGAGAGGUUUUUCGGAGCAAAUGUUAUGGUCUCUGUUGCCACUCAGAAGGCAUCUAACCCAGUUCACACAGUAGCAAACAAGCUUAGCCUGCCUGGGUUGCAGUUGAUUACGAAGAAGAUAGAGCUUCCGGUGAAGCUUGUCUUCCCUAGGAAUUUGUUGGGCGGGAUUGUUCCAGGAAGCACUCCUGGUGACUACAUGAUGCUUGGCCUUGGAGACAUGGCCAUCCCAGGGAUGCUUCUAGCUCUUGUACUCUCUUUCGAUCAUCGCAAGAGCAAAGGUGUGGCUGUUCCAUCAGACUUGUCUCCCUCCUCAAAGCGGCGAAAAUAUGUAUGGUUUGCGCUAACAGGUUAUGGUGUUGGCUUGGUAACUGCAUUGGCAGCUGGGAUCUUGUCUCAGUCUCCCCAGCCUGCUCUACUCUACCUGGUGCCCUCGACACUCGGGCCCAUCGUGUACCUGUCAUGGUUGAGGAAUGAUCUGUGGGAGCUGUGGGAAGGAUCUGGCACAAUUGUGAACGAGAAAGCUCAUUUGCUGGAAGUCUGA
rnacentral:rRNA from 1 species